rnacentral:rRNA from 1 species
GACAGAGGGUGCAAACGUUGUUCGGAAUUACUGGGCGUAAAGCGUGUGUAGGCGGUCCACUAAGUCGGGUGUGAAAGCCCUGGGCUCAACCCAGGAAGUGCACUCGAAACUGGCGGGCUAGAGUAUCGGAGAGGUUGGUGGAAUUCUCGGUGUAGAGGUGAAAUCGUAGAUAUCGAGAGGAACACCGGUGGCGAAGGCGGCCAACUGGACGAAUACUGACGCUGAGACACGAAAACGUGGGGAGCAAACAGG